GCUGGCGCUUCCUGUCUCUCUGCGCCAGCCUCGGCCUGCGGCGGGGUAGAGCGCCGGAAACGGCUUUAGCGGCUUUGGGAAUUGCGGGCGAAAGUUAAACGGAGAGAUCUUAGAGAUUUGCCCGCAAAUCGAAACAAAACUGCCCCUACUAACUCUGUGCCAACCUGUGCACCGUCUCACUGUGAACCCCUGAAAAUGCCUUUCUGGAGAAGAUUUUAAAUUAUUAGUAAUUAUUUGUGGAGACGGGAUCUCACUGUGAUUCCCAGGCUGGUCUCCAACUCCCAGCAUCAAAGUGAUCCUCCCGCCGUGGCCUCCCAUAUGUGCUGAGAUGACAGGUAUGAACCACCGUGCUUGGACUGAUCUGUCCCUUGAACUGCAAAUUUCUUUUCUUUCUU
rnacentral:lncRNA from 10 species